rnacentral:rRNA from 1 species
UGCAAGUCGAGGGGUAACAUAGAGAAGCUUGCUUUUUUGAUGACGACCGGCGCACGGGUGCGUAACGCGUAUAGAACUUACCUUUUACAGGGGGAUAGCCUUUAGAAAUGAAGAUUAAUAUCCCAUAGUAUUGAGAACUGGCAUCGGUUUUUAAUUAAAGAUUUAUCGGUAAAAGAUGGCUAUGCGUCCUAUUAGCUAGAUGGUAAGGUAAUGGCUUACCAUGGCGACGAUAGGUAGGGGCCCUGAGAGGGGGAUCCCCCACACUGGUACUGAGACACGGGCCAGACUCCUACGGGAGGCAGCAGUAGGGAAUAUUGGUCAAUGGAGGAGACUCUGAACCAGCCAUGCCGCGUGCAGGAAGACGGCCUUCUGGGUUGUAAACUGCUUUUGACAGGGA